rnacentral:rRNA from 1 species
GACGUAGGGGGCCAGCGUUGUUCGGAAUUACUGGGUGUAAAGGGUUCGUAGGCGGUGUGGCAAGUCGGGGGUGAAAUCUCUGGGCUCAACCCAGAGACUGCUUCCGAAACUGCUGUGCUUGAGUGUGAGAGAGGCUCGUGGAAUUGCAGGUGUAGCGGUGAAAUGCGUAGAUAUCUGCAGGAACACCCGUGGCGAAAGCGGCGAGCUGGAUCACUACUGACGCUGAGGAACGAAAGCUAGGGGAGCAAACAGG